rnacentral:tRNA from 1 species
GGAGGGUUCGCAUAGCGGUCUAGUGCGCACGCUUGGAAAGCGUGUGUGGGUCAAACCACCGGGAGUUCGAAUCUCCCACCCUCCG